AGAGUUUGAUCCUGGCUCAGGAUGAACGCUGGCGGCGUGCUUAACACAUGCAAGUCGAACGGAACGCCAAGGAAAGAGUUUUCGGACAAUGGAAUUGGUUGUUUAGUGGCGGACGGGUGAGUAACGCGUGAGUAACCUGCCUUGGAGUGGGGAAUAACACAGUGAAAACUGUGCUAAUACCGCAUGAUAUAUUGGUGUCGCAUGGCACUGAUAUCAAAGAUUUAUCGCUCUGAGAUGGACUCGCGUCUGAUUAGAUAGUUGGCGGGGUAACGGCCCACCAAGUCGACGAUCAGUAGCCGGACUGAGAGGUUGGCCGGCCACAUUGGGACUGAGACACGGCCCAGACUCCUACGGGAGGCAGCAGUGGGGAAUAUUGGGCAAUGGGCGCAAGCCUGACCCAGCAACGCCGCGUGAAGGAAGAAGGCUUUCGGGUUGUAAACUUCUUUUAACAGGGACGAAGUAAGUGACGGUACCUGUUGAAUAAGCCACGGCUAACUACGUGCCAGCAGCCGCGGU
rnacentral:rRNA from 1 species